GAAAGUUAUCUGCUGAAAAUGGCUGUUCCUCUGACAUAAAAGAGAAAUGCAGAUGUUACACAUCCCUUUGAAGUAAAUAACCUUGUAAGUACUUUACCAAACAAUAACACGCGAUUAGCUCAAGACACAUUUAAGUCUUAUAAGCAUUAUACCUAACCCUAACUGGCAAAUCAAAUGCAUCGUGGCGGGCAACGAUCAAAGACGUAGAUUUAUUUUUUUUUUUUUUGGGGGGGGGGGGCAGUUUUCACCUAAAGAACCUCUACACUCCCUGGGUAGCAACAUAUAAACCUGCCCCCGGGGGACGGACCUGCGAGAAAAGAGAAAAUAGGCGAGCGGGUUUGUAUGUAAACUUAACUCACUGGAGACCUCGUAGCAUAACCAACCUUUAAUAUCAGACUAUAUCAACUAGUGGAAUUUAAUCGUCUCAUGUCGGAAGAAAAGUAGCUGAAUUAUCGCUAAUGAAGGCUUCCAUAUGUCAAACCCCAAGAUGUCACUGCCUGACCAUGCCUGUUGAAAUUAACUAGAAUGUCACCAGCUACAGCAGGCUAGCAAGUUCAUUCACAAGCUGUAGAGCACAGCACUGCAGUUUGCUAAUCGCUCUAUUUUUAUACCCUAUACUGACAUUAAGUGAAAAACAUAGGCCUAUUUUACUAACUACUUUACAUUAAGGCAAUUUGCACUGAUCACCAAAGCAGCUUCGUUCCUUAGAUUACUGCCAAAGAUGGUGAUAGGCUAUAUUUAAAAGAUAACAGUCAGCAAAAAGAGUCCGAAAAGGGAGAAGAAAGAUAUUUUUGUCUCUCUGUGGGGCUGGUUACUAUUGUGAUACUGUUUUUUUCCGUUUGUAUGGUUAAUUGUGUUUGUAUACCACUGCUGGAAGGGGGUAUGCGCCAUUUUUUUUGGUUGCCUCCUUUGUACCUGUUUUGAUGUAGUCAGGGAGAUAAGGGAGGGUAGCUGUAAGUGUUUUUACUUUCUUUAUUUUGGUAGGUAAGUGUAGUGUGUGUUGGGUGGAGGCAGUUUGGGGUUUCUCUUUGUUAUUUUGGCCGGCUUGCCCCUGGAGAUGCCCCUGGUAAAAUGGCCGCCACCUCAUUGUCAUUUACGUGUACUUUGACUAUGACUUAAGCUUAAUACAACCCAUCUAUGAAUACAGCCCAUUAACAGGGGCACAGCUGGGGUGCAAUGGCUGUUGCCUCAUUAAUCACAAGCGAUUUCCGUUUUCCGCGACCACACCCCCCGCUUGCUAGUGACCUGUGAUUGGACAGUGAUUACAUUUCCUAGUGGCACAAUUUUGGCAUGUGCUUUCCAAAACUGAGCUGAUGCAGCAGAGCAAAUAUUUGCAUUUUGGUGUGAUGUGGCCCAAUUUCAUCAAUAAACUGUGUGUAAUAUGAACC